rnacentral:SRP_RNA from 1 species
GGGCAGGCGCUGUGCGACAGAACAGCGUGAACCAUGUCAGGCGGGGAACCGAGCAGCAUUAAGCGUCUCGUUGUGUGCGAUGCAGUCAGUCUGUUCGAC